UGUUAGAAUAGUAAGCCCCCACUCCACAGUAGUGUUAGAAUAGUAAGCCCCCCACACCACAGUAUAGUGUUAGAAUAGUAAGCACCCCACACCACAGUCGAGUGUUAGAAUAGUAAGACCCCCAAGGGCCUCCCGGGUGGCGCAGUGGUUAAGGGCGCUGUACUGCAGCGCCAGCUGUGCCAUCAGAGUCCCUGGGUUCGCGCCCAGGCUCUGUCGUAACCGGUCGCGACCGGGAGGUCUGUGGGGCGACGCACAAUUGGCCCAGCGUCGCCUGGGUUAGGGAGGGCUUGGUCGGUAGGGGUGUCCUUGUCUCAUCGCGCACCAGCGACUCCUGUGGCGGGCUGGGCGCAGUGUGCGCAAACCAAGGUGGCCAGGUGCACGGUGUUUCCUCCGGCGCAUUGGUGCGGCUGGCUUCCGGGUUGGAUGCACGCUGUGUUAAGAAGCAGUGCAGGUUUUUUAUUUUUACCCCUUUUUCUCCCCAAUUUCGUGGUAUCCAAUUGUUGUAGUAGCUACUAUCUUGUCUCAUCGCUACAACUCCCGUACGGGCUCGGGAGAGACGAAGGUUGAAAGUCAUACACAACCCAACCAUCGGAGGACGCAUGACUUUCAACCUUCGUCUCUCCCGAGCCCGUACAGGAGUUGUAGCGAUG
ensembl:lncRNA